rnacentral:lncRNA from 1 species
UUUUGUGCUGGAAGGAAUCUCAAAGUUUAUUUAGUCCAAAUUUCCUUAUUUUUAUAGAUGAGACUAAGGAUUCAAUUUGAAGUUUAGGAUUCAAACCCAGGUUCCUUGGCUCUUCUGUUUCCUGACUUGCCUUUUCAGAAAGAACAGCCCUCCCAGGGAAAGCAAUUCAAUCCUAUUAACUAAAAAGAACUGGAAACUGAGUGGAUGUCCAUCAAUUGGGGAUUAGCUGAACAAGUUGUGGCAUAUAAUUGUAAGGGAAUACUUUUGUGCUUCAAUGAAAAGACAAACAAGAUUAUCACAAAAAAACCUGUAAUGACUUAAUAUGAAAUGAUGCAAAGUGAAAACUGUGUACUCAUAGAUUUGGAACUAGAAUGGCCCUUUCUGCUCAUUUCAUCUGAGCUCCCCACUUUAUAAGAUGAGGAUAUUGAACUUUAGAAAUAUUACUCAGUCAUUACUCACUCAGAGGUGUAGGUUACAUGGAGUUCCAGUGUGUCUGAAGGACACUCCUCAGUGUUAUGGCAAGAAAGUUCUGCAUACUGGUAACACUAGCUCAGUUUAUUUGCCUGCAUCUUUUGGGUAACAAUUAGACAAGGGGUCAGGAUAAAUAUUUUGAAUCCUGGCUCAGCUCAUUUGGGGCAACCUGGACAAGUCUGGAUCCUUCUGUGGUCUCCUGGAGUUCCCUCACUUAUAAAACAGGAUUAAUGAUAACAGUCUACCCAUUACAAAGGGUUAUUGAGAAAAUCAAAUGGCAUGACCAUGUGAAAAACAGAUUUUCUUCCCUGGAACAGCCUCCCUCACAUCGUGGGGAGCACCCUCAAUAGUGAAAUGGGAGCCCCAGGGCUUUGGUAGCUUUGGUAGCUUUGGAUGCUGCCACAGGAAGGAAGUGAAACCUGGCAGCCACCUGCAGAGGCUUCUUAAUGCAAACUUUUAUUGGCUGUACCGCCUUUCCUGACAUUGCUGCUGACACUGUCUUCAUCAACAUUCAUCUGUGAUUGUCAUCGCCUCCACGGUGAUAAAUCCUGCACAGGUACCCAAGGGUGUUCAGAAUACAACCAAUUUUCUCUGGGUUUCAUUCCCCCACAACUCUCCACACCACUGGACUGCAAAACCUAAUUGGGCUAUUGUCUGCUUCCCAAAACAAACUCAUUUUUCUCCACCGAACCAUCAGAGAUGCUGUCAAUCAACAUGAAACAUGUCAGAUUUUGAAAGGGGGUGGCAAGGCCUGUAAUCUCACAAGCAUUCCCAUGUAAACAAGUUCACCAUCAUUUGGGGAAUUAAAGAAAAUCACCUGCAUAUUUGAGUCUUUUUUUCCAU